rnacentral:rRNA from 1 species
UACGUAGGGUGCAAGCGUUGUCCGGAAUUAUUGGGCGUAAAGAGCUCGUAGGCGGUUUGUUGCGUCGGCUGUGAAAUCCCGAGGCUCAACCUCGGGUCUGCAGUCGAUACGAGCAAACUAGAGUGUUGCAGGGGAGACUGGAAUUCUCGGUGUAGCAGUGAAAUGCGUAGAUAUCGAGAGGAACACCAGUGGCGAAGGCGAGUCCCUGGACAACUCCUGACACUGAGGCACGAAAGCUAGGGGAGCAAACAGG